UGGCAGUCUUUUUAUGAAAUCUGGUAGUUGUUUGAUGUUUACCAGAAAACAGUAACGGAUAAGAGAGGAGGGAAAACAACAGUCACUCAAGAAUGGCAUCAUUAGCAACAUCAACACUCGUGUACUCUACUCCUGUUAGAAUCAAAACUAGUUCAAAGCCAAGGUCAAGUUCAAGAACUUGCAAGAAAACAGUCCCUUUCCUUGUUACUAGAGCAGACAGUUCUUCUCUUCUCCUCCAUGCAGCUAAGUACACUGUUGAUAAACACAUACAAAGUGGCAUGGUUGUUGGUUUAGGGUCUGGACAGGCUUCUGGUAUGGCUAUACAGUAUCUGGGUCGGCUACUCGGAACUGGGGCUUUAAAAGAUAUAGUUGGAGUACCCAUGUCUGUAACAAGUGCAAGUGAAGCAGCAAAGGCUGGCAUCCCAUUGGACGUAUACCAAGAUAGUUCUCAAAUUGAUUUUGCAUUUGAUGAUGCUGAUAUUAUAGAAGAAGAAACACUUGUUGCAAUCAUUGGACGUCGGAAAUCACAGAGCGACGAGUCCAUCAUUCAAGAGAAGUCAAUACUCAAAACAGCCAAUAAGCUUGUAUUCAUGAUUACAGAAAACCAGUACGUGGGAGGUCUUGAAGGUUCUAUUCCAGUUUUGGUUCAAGCUCUCAACUGGAUGGAAACUGCUGAAGAGAUUGAUGACCUAUUUUUAGGUGAUGCAGAGGUAUGGAGGAGAUCAUCGAUAGGACAAGCUGGUCCGACGGGGGGCGAUUACCCUUUCAUUACAAGCGAAGGUCACAACGUUCUUGAUGUCAUCUUCACAUCUCCAAUACAAAGCCUUGGUUGUAACAAUGCAGUUUAAAGCAAAAUCAUGCCAAAUUUUUCACAGCAGUUCACUAUGGAGGAGUAGAUUUGUGUUAUUAAACCCAGCCUGGCUUGAUGCACUGUUGUGAUUGCUGCUGAGAGUGGAGGUCUGAACAUUGUUGAUAGAUAGUCUCCUAGUGUGGGAUAUGAUUCUUCUUGAGUCUGUUCUGUACAGAAAAUUGAGCAAGAAAAAAAAAAACGAAGUGAAAUUUAGACAUCCUGUUUUUGAACAAAGGUCUCAUAUGUGCCACAAGAUUCUUCUUUUGUUUAAACCCAGUAUUAUUUAGUAUACUUUGAAUUUAAUUA